UACGGGGGGGGGCAAGCGUUGUUCGGAAUUACUGGGCGUAAAGGGCUCGUAGGCGGCCAACUAAGUCGGAUGUGAAAUCCCCAGGCUUAACCUGGGAACUGCAUCCGAUACUGGAUGGCUUGAAUUCGGGAGAGGGAUGCAGAAUUCCAGGUGUAGCGGUGAAAUGCGUAGAUAUCUGGAGGAAUACCGGUGGCGAAGGCGGCAUCCUGGCGACAUACUGACGUUGAGGCGCGAGAGCGUGGGGAGCAAACGGG
rnacentral:rRNA from 1 species